AUUCUUUAUAAGAGGCAGUAGUGCUGGUUAACUUUUUCAUGACAUGUACGAGUAACCUCAACAUUGUUGCUGCUGCUGCUGCUGAUUUGUGUGAUGUGUUGCGAUGAUAAAAAAUAAUCACCAGUCCGUGGUUUUAUACUCACACCACGCAAUUAUUGAAAUCCAACUGUUGUGCACAUGUGGAGUGGCCGAAACCGGUAAUCGGACCGGAUUUUAAUAUGUUGGCAGACCAAGAGAGAGUUCUGGUCGAUGGAAACUUGCUGAACCUAUGUACGAAAUACGAAUCGCAAACAUGGCACAACUAUGGCCAUUUAUUUGAUGAUCAAUGUGUCUGGGACAUCGGUUUAAUCAAGCGGACGGGCUCUGGUUGUUGUUGUCCUCUGAAAAUGCUUAAUUUUUCUCGCUAAUUUAUACGAUGAACCAUUCGCUCAGAUAUUGGAAUGAUCAUCAGCCCUCUUCACAUCCAACGUAAAGUAAGUACAGGGAGUAAAUGGCAAUUAAUGAAUCCACCAGAGUUUGGGUCUCGUUUACUCAUCGUGGAGCUUGCAUCCUGUUUUCGUACGAGUUUUUCGCUAGUGGGAUGUGUCAUGAUCGAAGAUAUGGUGAACGGAGGACCAGAGGAAGAAGUCGAAUCCCGUUGUUGGACAGUUACUUAUUAAUAUUUAAAUAUGGAAAACUUAGAAAGUGAACAUUAAACCUGACCCGGACCGAGUGAAGUCAAACGACUUUUACUAAAAAGUUUGGUUCGCAGGUAAAACCAUGCACGUCGUCGCCCGUGGGGCCAUCUCCUAUUCCUACAACAUUGGGUUGGACUCCUUCAACGACGAAAUUAUACAUUUUGCAUACUUGCUGAUUGCGUCAGAAAUGUGUGUGGAAUCGGUCGUCGCAUUCGAAUCUUGAUUAAGUGCGAAUCAAGUUCCCAUCCACGCCGUCUAAUUUUAGUAGCAGAUUGAACAAGAUUUUAUGAACACCAGGUUGAAUUCCAACUAAUCAGCCCCCAUUCUAGAUAAGCGGAGGAUUGCGGUGUAUAAGAUCUUUACAAUUUUGUAAAAAGACUGUAAACAUGCGUACGUUUAGAUUAUUCAAAUUGUAAUAAAAAGAACAAAUUCGCAUAAUUUUUAAA